ACGACCUUACUUGAACAGGAUCUGUUCUAUAGGCUCGUACCUCUGAUCCUUAAGUUCUAAGGAGACAGGAACUGAAAUCUGGUGGAUGAACUAAUGACUCUGUGAUCAGAGCGUGAUUAACGGCUAGAUGACUUCUCUUCGGAUUAGUGUAAAUCUCCAGCUGCAGAGGAUCGUUCCUGGUCAGCAGUGGCUUAGGAUGGUCACAGAGUUGUCUGACAGAUU